rnacentral:rRNA from 1 species
AGCAGCCGCGGUAAUUCCAGCUCCAAUAGCGUAUAUUAAAGUUGUUGCAGUUAAAAAGCUCGUAGUUGAAUUUCGGGGUUAGUAGGUUGGUCAUGCCUCUGGUAUGUACUGGUCUCACUGAUUCCUCCUUCCUUAUGAACCGUAAUGCUAUUAAUUUGGUGUUGCGGGGAAUUUGGACUGUUACUUUGAAAAAAUUAGAGUGUUUAAAGCAAGCUAACGCUUGAAUACAUUAGCAUGGAAUAAUGAAAUAGGACGUUCGAUCUUAUUUUGUUGGUUUCUAGGAUUGACGUAAUGAUUAAUAGGGAUAGUUGGGGGCAUUAGUAUUCAAUUGUCAGAGGUGAAAUUCUUGGAUUUAUUGAAGACUAACUACUGCGAAAGCAUUUGCCAAGGAUGUUUUCACUAAUCAAGAACGAAAGUUAGGGGAUCGAAGACGAUCAGAUACCGUCGUAG